AUAAACAAAUCUAUACUGUGAAACUGCGAAUGGCUCAUUAUAUCAAUUAUAGUUUAUUUGAUGGUUCUUGGUGGAGUGAUUUGUCUGGUUAAUUCCAUUAACGAACGAGACCCCCGCCUGACUUAUAGUUGAGCGAAUGCCUAUCAUUGGCGUCCACUUCUUAUAGGGACUUUUGGUGACUAACCAAAAGAAGUUGGGGGCAAUAGCAUGUCUGUGAUGCCCUUAAAUGUCCUGGGCCCCACGCCCGCUACAAUGAACACGCAACUAGUCCACCUUGUCCUAAAGGUCCAGGUAAUCUUGUAGAUGUGUAUCGUACUAGGGAUACAUUUUUGCAAGUUCUGAAUCUUGAACAAGGAAUUCCGAGUAAAUGCUAGUCAUCCGCUCGCGUUGAUUACAUCCCUGCCCUUUGUACACACCGCCCGUCUCACCUACCGAUUGAAUGGUUCAGUGAAAAU
rnacentral:rRNA from 1 species